rnacentral:tRNA from 1 species
UGUGCGUAUGUCACAAGACUGCCGGUUGAGCAAUACGGAGUCGAUGCUGCAAUCCUUUAUAAAGAUAUCAUGACGC